UAAAAAAACUCCCUUGUCUUUCCAACGUCACUGCUCCUCCCAAUCCCGCCGCCGAUGCCCCUCCGUCCGAGCGCUCUGCUUAAUGGUGCUCGCGCUCUCCACACCCACGUUCGUGCCCUCCAAUCUGGCGCCACCUCCGGCGGCUUGACCGCGCCACCACUUCCUCCUCCCCCACGCCACCCGCCUCCUCGCCCGCCGCGCGCCGCCCUACCCCGCACCGCCGCCUCCGCCCGCUCCAGAUGUCGGCCUCCAACCACUCCGGCGCCGGCGCCAGCUCCCCCUCCACCCCCUCGCCGCCCCGGCCCUCGCGAUGAGUCUGAUGCGUCGUCCUCCUCCUCACGCGUCUGUCCGUAUGAUGUCUUACCGUGUCGGCGUCGAUGGUGUCGGAGCUGAGAUGCUGGGGCCGUACAAUAGUUGCCGUGGAUGGAUGGAACCACCUAGUGCGUUGACUUAGCAACUGGCCGAUGGGAAGGGAUGCCUGCCUUAGCAACUCCAAGCUACGAACCUGUCUCAUGGGAGCGCCUACCGAAAGCUCGCGCGCCAGGCUGCCACUGCCACACCAGCCGCCACCGCCGCAGCCCCGUCCACGUCGUCCUUGUCCUUCCCCGUCCCUGCUGUCGAUGGCGAGGAUGACAACGAGGACGUCGAUGAGUUCAACGGCUUCGACACACUGAGCGAGUACGAUGCCGGCGUGACAGAGAUCGACGAGGAGGACGAAAAGGCCCUCACUGCAUUCAUGUCCAAGGAAACCUCCUCCAAACGAUCGCUUGGUGAUAUCAUCCUCCAGAAGAUCAAAGAGAAGGACGCCACUGUCUCAACAUGCUUUCUCCAUGGUUAAUAUGAAUUAUGCAAGGAUCAGAGGAAGGCGGGGAGCUGGCCUUCUCCAUGUCUCGGGGGAGAGUGUCUUCCUUGGAUUCAACAAGAAGGGGACCCGACCUUCUUCACAUCUCGUGCAACAAGGGUGAUCGACGCAGACUAGCACAGCCCGGUGGUGUCGUGCUCUUCAACCACUCGGAGACGGACUUCGCCAUGAAGCCCGAAGACUACAUCGUGCAGAUGACCAUCCAGAUGAUUGUGAAUUGUGACACCGGAGGUCGCCGAGGUGGAGGACCUCGACGCCACCGUCCGGCGGGAGGGAGGGUUCGGGUCCACCGGUGGUUGAACUCCGAAUCUUGGUAGAUACAUCUAGACAAGUGGUCUGGUUGUUUGCGUCUGAUGUUAAAUGGGAUCUCGUGAACUCUUCGAGUUGAGAUGUUCAAUGUUGCGUCCAUGAACGCUGCAAGUGCUAAGAUGGUUCUGUGAUCUUAG